rnacentral:rRNA from 1 species
AGAGUUUGAUCAUGGCUCAGAUUGAACGCUGGCGGCAUGCUUAAUACAUGCAAGUCGAACGGUAACAGGUUCUUCGGAAUGCUGACGAGUGGCGGACGGGUGAGUAACGCGUAGGAAUCUACCCAGUAGUGGGGGACAACUUGGGGAAACUCAAGCUAAUACCGCAUACGCCCUACGGGGGAAAGCGGGGGACCUUCGGGCCUCGUGCUAUUGGAUGAGCCUGCGUUAGAUUAGCUAGUUGGUAGGGUAAAGGCCUACCAAGGCGACGAUCUAUAGCUGGUCUGAGAGGAUGAUCAGCCACACUGGAACUGAGACACGGCCCAGACUCCUACGGGAGGCAGCAGUAGGGAGUAUUGGACAAUGGGCGCAAGCCUGAUCCAGCAAUGCCGCGUGUGUGAAGAAGGCCUGCGGGUUGUAAAGCACUUUCAAUUGGGAAGAAAGAUUUAGAGUUAAUACCUCUUAAUAUUGACGUUACCAAUAGAAGAAGCACCGGCUAACUCUGUGCCAGCAGCCGCGGUAAUACAGAGGGUGCAAGCGUUGUUCGGAAUCACUGGGCGUAAAGGGCGCGUAGGCGGCCAAGCAAGUCAGAUGUGAAAGCCCACGGCUCAACCGUGGAAGUGCAUUUGAAACUGCUUGGCUUGAGUAUCAGAGGGGAAAGUGGAAUUCCCGGUGUAGAGGUGAAAUUCGUAGAUAUCGGGAGGAAUACCGGUGGCGAAGGCGACUUUCUGGCUGAAUACUGACGCUGAGGCGCGAAAGCGUGGGGAGCAAACAGGAUUAGAUACCCUGGUAGUCCACGCCGUAAACGAUGUCAACUAGGUGCAGGGGGUGUUGAUCCCCUCUGUGUCGCAGCUAACGCAUUAAGUUGACCGCCUGGGGAGUACGGUCGCAAGAUUAAAAAUCAAAGGAAUUGACGGGGGCCCGCACAAGCGGUGGAGUAUGUGGUUUAAUUAGCUAGAUGCAACCGAAGAACCUUACCUGGUCUUGACAUCCCGAAAAAGCCCUAGAAAUAGGGAAGUGCUCUCUUUGAGAGAAUUUGUUGACAGGUGUUGCAUGGUUGUCGUCAGCUCAUGCCUUGAGGUGUUCGGUUAAGUCCGUUAACGAGCGCAACCCUCGCCAUUAGUUGCCAGCAUUAAGUUUGGGCACUCUAGCGAGACUGCCGGUGACAAACCGGAGGAAGGUGGGGAUGACGUCAAGUCCUCAUGGCCCUUAUGUCUGGGGCUACACACGUGACUACAAUGGUCGGUACAAAGGGCAGCGACUUAGCGAUGAUGGGAGCUAAUCCCAGAAAAGAUGCCUCAGUUCGGAUUGGAGUCUGCAUCUCGACUCCAUGAAGUUGGAAUCGCUAGUAAUCGCGGAUCAGCAUGCCGCGGUGAAUACGUUCCCGGGCCUUGUACACACCGCCCGUCACACCAUGAAAGUCGGUUGUUCCAGAAGUAGUUGAGCUAACCUUCGGGAGGCAGGCUACCAAGGAAUGAUCGGUAAUUGGGGUGAAGUCGUAACAAGGUAACC